GUGCGCAUGCAACACAUAUACUAAAUUUAGAAAAAUAUAGAGAGGGUAAGUAUGGCUCCUGCACAAGACAACAGGCAAAUUCAUGAAGCGCUCCAUAUUUUU
rnacentral:snRNA from 1 species